rnacentral:lncRNA from 1 species
CGGAACGGAGGAGCGGAGCGGAGCGGAGCGCGUGUCGCUCGACGCGGGCUCCGAGUCGCGACUGGGCUCGGGCUGGCACGGGCUGGCCAAGGCACCGCAGCCCCACUGCAGCUCUGACGUCAGCGAACCUCCCGCUCUUAAAGCGCACACUUCCUGCAGGCGCCGCCCCACGCGCCCCCCGCCCGAAUCAGAGCUUGGGGUUUGGGGCUUGGGACCGGGACCCAGAGCCAAGCUUCAGCUUUUGGAGAAGUUAAGUCCCAAGUGACCAGAUGAAAAAUGGCUCGCGAAGCAACAUGUGAAUUCGGGCAAGGAGAAUGGCGUUCAAGGGGUUAAUGAAGAGCUUGGUUGCCCAGAGUCUGCAGUGAGGUGCCUCAACCAAAAGCUGCUUUUCAAAGACCCGUUUACUCAGGGCUAGACACUGUUUUAAGAAACACUGAAGAGAGACAAGAUGGCUUGGAGAUCACCUGAAGUCACUGACUCCUACUUAGAUCAAGAAGGUCCCAGGGUUUGAACUCGGGUUGUCAGGUUUACAUGGCAAGCUGAGUCAUCUUGCCUAUCACCAGCAUUUUCAUGUCACAGAAGAUGAACUGCACGGAAAAAAAUCACAGCAAUCAACAGCUGACUCAAAACAUGAGUCACAAAAAUUAAGAGAGAGCACCAUCUGAAUGGAGAGAGCACCAUCUGAAUGGAGAGAGCACCAUCUGAAUGGAGAGAGCACCAUCUGAAUGGAGAGAGCAAGCAAGGAGCGCUGUAUUUACAGAAAGGGUAAGCACAAGUGGCCCGGGCACCCGAGGAUCACGAUGGCUCUUCAGUUAGCUGUCAGCGCGCAAUAUAAAUCCUUGCUAUGUGAGCAAGUUGGAUCCAAUUCUUCAUCAAAGGUACUGUGCUCAUGGAGGCUGUCAGAUGCUCCCCGUCAAAUGAAUCCGCAUCCGCAGUCCAAAGGCCAGAGGAAAGGGGAUCGGCAGGGACAGAAGACAAACCUUCAGAAAUGCUGUGCAGAAAAGGCCGCGGACGUACAAUGAAGAUUCUAGAGUGUUCCUGCAAGCACCUGCUCUUCUCAAACCCUGGGUCGCUCUGUGUGAUCUUGUGGGACUUGAGCCACCUGCAUUCUUACAAUCAAAUCUUGAAGACGAUCUUUCUCCUUCUCAGUCACUUUCAUAUUUUACCAUAGCUCAGCUGAGUCUGGGGGACAUGAUUAGAUUGGCUCGGUAAUGGAGUGGUUUGGACCCCACUAAGUGAUGAUCGAUCUGCCUGCUGCUCUGGUGCUGUGCCGUGGACAUCAGCUCUAACCAAGAAGACACCGCUAGUGGGAGCACGCUUCCUGCUGAUGGCCGCUAGAGCACCUCCGGUCUGGAUCUGAAACAUCAGAACUAGCUUCUCUAAAACGAACACUUCAAGCAUACAAGCCUUUCUAAAGGAUUUCCCCGCUCCCUAGUUGAAGUGUAGAAAAAAAGAAAGAGAAGAAGAAAGAAGAAGAAGAAGAAGAAGAAGAAGAAGAAGAAGAAGAAGAAGAAGAAGAAGAAGAAGAAGAAGAAGAAGAAGAAGAAAACACAGCAGCAGCAAUAUCCAGAAGAGUAAAACACCAAACCCACCGUCGCCUUAUGGACACACACAUGCUUAAACCAUCGAUACUCUCAUGAUGCUCUCUCACAGCAGCUGCUGCCUAGGAGCAAUUACUAAAUCCAGAGCAGACCAAUCAACACACUUCUAAUCAUGUCCUCCAGACUUGGUCUAACCAGAACACCAGCACUGAAAUUCACGACGAUAUACAUUCUCUCCCACCGGGUUUCCUUGCUGAUAAUGCGCUUAGA